rnacentral:tRNA from 1 species
GUUGACGUAGCUUAAAGUUUUAUAGUGUGGCACUGAAGAUGCCAAGAUGGGCCCUGAAAAUCCCCGACAACA